CCUACGGGUGGCAGCAGUGGGGAAUAUUGCACAAUGGGCGAAAGCCUGAUGCAGCAACGCCGCGUGCAGGAAGACGGUUUUCGGAUUGUAAACUUCUGUUCUUAGUGAAGAAUAACGACGGUAACUAAGGACCAAGCCACGGCUAACUACGUGCCAGCAGCCGCGGUCAUACGUAGGUGGCAAGCGUUUUCCGGAAUUACUGUGUGUAAAGGGAGCGUAGGCGGGAAGCCAGGUCGGCUGUGAAAUGUACGGGCUUAACCUGUAGACUGCAGUUGAAACUGGCGUUCUUGAGUGAAGGAAAGGUAGGCGGAAUUCCGAGUGUAGCGGUGAAAUGCGUAGAUAUUCGGAGGAACACCGGGGGCGAAGGCGGCCAACUGGGCUGUAACUGACGCUGAGGCUCGAAAGUGUGGGGAGCAAACAGGAUUAGAUACCCUGGUAGUC
rnacentral:rRNA from 1 species